GGGUUGUGAGGUUAAGCGACUAAGCGUACACGGUGGAUGCCCUGGCAGUCAGAGGCGAUGAAGGACGUGCUAAUCUGCGAAAAGCGUCGGUAAGGUGAUAUGAACCGUUAUAACCGGCGAUGUCCGAAUGGGGAAACCCAGUGCAAUUCGUUGCACUAUCGUUAACUGAAUACAUAGGUUAACGAGGCGAACCGGGGGAACUGAAACAUCUAAGUACCCCGAGGAAAAGAAAUCAACCGAGAUUCCCCCAGUAGCGGCGAGCGAACGGGGAGCAGCCCAGAGUCUGAAUCAGCUUGUGUGUUAGUGGAACGGUCUGGAAAGUCCGACGGUACAGGGUGAUAGUCCCGUACACCAAAAUGCACAGGUUGUGAACUCGAAGAGUAGGGCGGGACACGUGGUAUCCUGUCUGAAUAUGGGGGGACCAUCCUCCAAGGCUAAAUACUCCUGACUGACCGAUAGUGAACCAGUACCGUGAGGGAAAGGCGAAAAGAACCCCGGCGAGGGGAGUGAAAAAGAACCUGAAACCGUGUACGUACAAGCAGUGGGAGCACCUUCGGGUGUGACUGCGUACCUUUUGUAUAAUGGGUCAGCGACUUAUAUUCUGUAGCAAGGUUAACCGUAUAGGGGAGCCGCAGGGAAACCGAGUCUUAACUGGGCGUUAAGUUGCAGGGUAUAGACCCGAAACCCGGUGAUCUAGCCAUGGGCAGGUUGAAGGUUGGGUAACACUAACUGGAGGACCGAACCGACUAAUGUUGAAAAAUUAGCGGAUGACUUGUGGCUGGGGGUGAAAGGCCAAUCAAACCGGGAGAUAGCUGGUUCUCCCCGAAAGCUAUUUAGGUAGCGCCUCGUGAACUCAUCUUCGGGGGUAGAGCACUGUUUCGGCUAGGGGGUCAUCCCGACUUACCAACCCGAUGCAAACUACGAAUACCGAAGAAUGUUAUCACGGGAGACACACGGCGGGUGCUAACGUCCGUCGUGAAGAGGGAAACAACCCAGACCGCCAGCUAAGGUCCCAAAGUCAUGGUUAAGUGGGAAACGAUGUGGGAAGGCACAGACAGCCAGGAUGUUGGCUUAGAAGCAGCCAUCAUUUAAAGAAAGCGUAAUAGCUCACUGGUCGAGUCGGCCUGCGCGGAAGAUGUAACGGGGCUAAACCAUGCACCGAAGCUGCGGCAGCGACACUAUGUGUUGUUGGGUAGGGGAGCGUUCUGUAAGCCUGCGAAGGUGGCCUGUGAGGGUUGCUGGAGGUAUCAGAAGUGCGAAUGCUGACAUAAGUAACGAUAAAGCGGGUGAAAAGCCCGCUCGCCGGAAGACCAAGGGUUCCUGUCCAACGUUAAUCGGGGCAGGGUGAGUCGACCCCUAAGGCGAGGCCGAAAGGCGUAGUCGAUGGGAAACAGGUUAAUAUUCCUGUACUUGGUGUUACUGCGAAGGGGGGACGGAGAAGGCUAUGUUAGCCGGGCGACGGUUGUCCCGGUUUAAGCAUGUAGGCGGAGGUUCCAGGUAAAUCCGGUACCUUUUAACGCUGAGGUGUGAUGACGAGGCACUACGGUGCUGAAGUAACAAAUGCCCUGCUUCCAGGAAAAGCCUCUAAGCAUCAGGUAACAUUAAAUCGUACCCCAAACCGACACAGGUGGUCAGGUAGAGAAUACCAAGGCGCUUGAGAGAACUCGGGUGAAGGAACUAGGCAAAAUGGUGCCGUAACUUCGGGAGAAGGCACGCUGGUGUGUAGGUGAAGUCCCUGCGGAUGGAGCUGAGACCAGUCGAAGAUACCAGCUGGCUGCAACUGUUUAUUAAAAACACAGCACUGUGCAAACACGAAAGUGGACGUAUACGGUGUGACGCCUGCCCGGUGCCGGAAGGUUAAUUGAUGGGGUUAUCCGUAAGGAGAAGCUCUUGAUCGAAGCCCCGGUAAACGGCGGCCGUAACUAUAACGGUCCUAAGGUAGCGAAAUUCCUUGUCGGGUAAGUUCCGACCUGCACGAAUGGCGUAAUGAUGGCCAGGCUGUCUCCACCCGAGACUCAGUGAAAUUGAACUCGCUGUGAAGAUGCAGUGUACCCGCGGCAAGACGGAAAGACCCCGUGAACCUUUACUAUAGCUUGACACUGAACAUUGAGCCUUGAUGUGUAGGAUAGGUGGGAGGCUUUGAAGCGUGGACGCCAGUCUGCGUGGAGCCAACCUUGAAAUACCACCCUUUAAUGUUUGAUGUUCUAACGUUGGCCCCUUAUCGGGGUUGCGGACAGUGUCUGGUGGGUAGUUUGACUGGGGCGGUCUCCUCCCAAAGAGUAACGGAGGAGCACGAAGGUUAGCUAAUCCUGGUCGGACAUCAGGAGGUUAGUGCAAUGGCAUAAGCUAGCUUGACUGCGAGCGUGACGGCGCGAGCAGGUGCGAAAGCAGGUCAUAGUGAUCCGGUGGUUCUGAAUGGAAGGGCCAUCGCUCAACGGAUAAAAGGUACUCCGGGGAUAACAGGCUGAUACCGCCCAAGAGUUCAUAUCGACGGCGGUGUUUGGCACCUCGAUGUCGGCUCAUCACAUCCUGGGGCUGAAGUAGGUCCCAAGGGUAUGGCUGUUCGCCAUUUAAAGUGGUACGCGAGCUGGGUUUAGAACGUCGUGAGACAGUUCGGUCCCUAUCUGCCGUGGGCGCUGGAGAAUUGAGGGGGGCUGCUCCUAGUACGAGAGGACCGGAGUGGACGCAUCACUGGUGUUCGGGUUGUCAUGCCAAUGGCACUGCCCGGUAGCUAAAUGCGGAAGAGAUAAGUGCUGAAAGCAUCUAAGCACGAAACUUGCCCCGAGAUGAGUUCUCCCUGAGACUUUAAGUCUCCUGAAGGAACGUUGAAGACGACGACGUUGAUAGGCCGGGUGUGUAAGCGCAGCGAUGCGUUGAGCUAACCGGUACUAAUGAACCGUGAGGCUUAACCUUACAACGCCGAAGCUGUU
rnacentral:rRNA from 1 species